UUGUAACUUAGUGGUUACAUAAGGCCUUAGUAGCAUCUGAGGUCCUAGGUUCGACUCCUUGUUGGAGCAAAUUUUCCAGGAUUCUAAUGGCUUUGUGCUCUCAAUGAGAGACCCUCAUAGGGGGGUUUGCGCGCGUACGUUCUUAGGGGCGAGUGGGCAGCGUCUACGUUGUACUGUGUGGUCGUUGUGCUCCCAAGUUCUUGUUUCCCCGAUCAGUUUGCCCUAGCGAGGGUUAUGACACCACCAGUCUUACUUAUAUGUUUAUGUGUUUAUUAUUUGAGACUUCCACCGCUACUUUUAUGUUAUAUAUCGAGAUUUCGG
rnacentral:lncRNA from 1 species